GGUAUUUCAAACAACACGUUUAAACAAACUUCGCUUGACGCUCAGAACUUUUUUCCGUUACCAAUAAUCUAUUGUUGCUUACAGAUUGAAUAACUCUUUGUAUCUUGCCUUCCCAACUUCCCGCCUAUAACAACAGUGGCCCAUCCAUUAGAUGCAGUAUCAGCUCUUUUUUUUUUUUUAUUCUUUAAAUAUACCUAUUACCUAUUAUAUCAUUCUAUGAAAAUUGAAUAUGCAGAUUCCGCAAAAUCGUUAAACAUAAAAGUAUAAAAC